rnacentral:rRNA from 1 species
GAUGAACGCUAGCGGCAGGCUUAAUACAUGCAAGUCAAGGGGGUAGCAAUACAACCGGCGCACGGGUGAGUAACGCGUACACAACAUACCAUAUACUGGGGUAUAGCUUUGGGAAACUGAAGGUAAUCCCCCAUAACAUUGCGAAAGGGCAUCUGAUUGCAAUUAAAGUUUCGGCGGUAUAUGAUUGGUGUGCGUUUGAUUAGCUAGUUGGUAGGGUAACGGCCUACCAAGGCGACGAUCAAUAGCUGGCGUGAGAGCGCGACCAGCCACACUGGAACUGAGACACGGUCCAGACUCCUACGGGAGGCAGCAGUAGGGAAUAUUGGACAAUGGAGGAAACUCUGAUCCAGCCAUGCCGCGUGAUAGAUGAAGGCCCUCUGGGUUGUAAAUAUCUUUUAUCUGGGAAGAAACACUCCUAUUCUUAGGAACUUGACGGUACCAGAGGAAUAAGCACCGGCUAACUCCGUGCCAGCAGCCGCGGUAAU